rnacentral:rRNA from 1 species
AGAUUAAGUUAUUAAGGGCGCACGGUGGAUGCCUUGGCACUAGAAGCCGAUGAAGGACGUUACUAACGACGAUAUGCUUUGGGGAGCUGUAAGUAAGCGUUGAUCCAGAGAUUUCCGAAUGGGGAAACCCAGCAUGAGUUAUGUCAUGUUAUCGAUAUGUGAAUACAUAGCAUAUCAGAAGGCAGACCCGGAGAACUGAAACAUCUUAGUACCCGGAGGAAGAGAAAGAAAAAUCGAUUCCCUGAGUAGCGGCGAGCGAAACGGGAAGAGCCCAAACCAACAAGCUUGCUUGUUGGGGUUGUAGGACACUCUAUACGGAGUUACAAAAGUAUAUAUUAGACGAAUCAUCUGGAAAGUUGAAUCAAAGAAGGUAAUAAUCCUGUAGUCGAAAAUAUAUACUCUCUUGAGUGGAUCCUGAGUACGACGGAGCACGUGAAAUUCCGUCGGAAUCUGGGAGGACCAUCUCCUAAGGCUAAAUACUCUCUAGUGACCGAUAGUGAACCAGUACCGUGAGGGAAAGGUGAAAAGUACCCCGGAAGGGGAGUGAAAGAGAACUUGAAACCGUGUGCUUACAAGUAGUCAGAGCCCGUUAAUGGGUGAUGGCGUGCCUUUUGUAGAAUGAACCGGCGAGUUACGAUUUGAUGCAAGGUUAAGCAGCUAAUGUGGAGCCGUAGCGAAAGCGAGUCUGAAUAGGGCGUUUAGUAUUUGGUCGUAGACCCGAAACCAGGUGAUCUACCCUUGGUCAGGUUGAAGUUCAGGUAACACUGAAUGGAGGACCGAACCGACUUACGUUGAAAAGUGAGCGGAUGAACUGAGGGUAGCGGAGAAAUUCCAAUCGAACUUGGAGAUAGCUGGUUCUCUCCGAAAUAGCUUUAGGGCUAGCCUCAAGUGAUGAUUAUUGGAGGUAGAGCACUGUUUGGACGAGGGGCCCUUCUCGGGUUACCGAAUUCAGACAAACUCCGAAUGCCAAUCAAUUUAACUUGGGAGUCAGAACAUGGGUGAUAAGGUCCGUGUUCGAAAGGGAAACAGCCCAGACCACCAGCUAAGGUCCCAAAAUAUAUGUUAAGUGGAAAAGGAUGUGGCGUUGCCCAGACAACUAGGAUGUUGGCUUAGAAGCAGCCAUCAUUUAAAGAGUGCGUAAUAGCUCACUAGUCGAGUGACACUGCGCCGAAAAUGUACCGGGGCUAAACAUAUUACCGAAGCUGUGGAUUGUCCGUAGGACAAUGGUAGGAGAGCGUUCUAAGGGCGUCGAAGCAUGAUCGCAAGGACAUGUGGAGCGCUUAGAAGUGAGAAUGCCGGUGUGAGUAGCGAAAGACGGGUGAGAAUCCCGUCCACCGAUUGACUAAGGUUUCCAGAGGAAGGCUCGUCCGCUCUGGGUUAGUCGGGUCCUAAGCUGAGGCCGACAGGCGUAGGCGAUGGAUAACAGGUUGAUAUUCCUGUACCACCUAGUAUCGUUUUAAUCGAUGGGGGGACGCAGUAGGAUAGGCGAAGCGUGCUAUUGGAUUGCACGUCCAAGCAGUAAGACUGAGUGUUAGGCAAAUCCGGCACUCAUAAGGUCAAGCUGUGAUGGGGAGGGGGAAAUUGUUUCCUCGAGUCGUUGAUUUCACACUGCCAAGAAAAGCCUCUAGAUAGAUAACAGGUGCCCGUACCGCAAACCGACACAGGUAGUCAAGAUGAGAAUUCUAAGGUGAGCGAGCGAACUCUCGUUAAGGAACUCGGCAAAAUGACCCCGUAACUUCGGGAGAAGGGGUGCUCUUUAGGGUUAACGCCCAGAAGAGCCGCAGUGAAUAGGCCCAAGCGACUGUUUAUCAAAAACACAGGUCUCUGCUAAACCGUAAGGUGAUGUAUAGGGGCUGACGCCUGCCCGGUGCUGGAAGGUUAAGAGGAGUAGUUAGCUUCUGCGAAGCUACGAAUCGAAGCCCC